rnacentral:rRNA from 1 species
UACGUAGGGGGCUAGCGUUGUCCGGAUUUAUUGGGCGUAAAGAGCGUGUAGGCGGCCAUGUAGGUCCGGUGUGAAAACUCGAGGCUUAACCUCGAGAUGUCAUCGGAAACCAUUUGGCUAGAGUCCGGGAGAGGGAUGCAGAAUUCCAGGUGGUAGCGGUGAAAUGCGUAGAUAUCAAGAGGAACACCUGCGGCGAAGGCGGGUUGCUGGGCCGACACUGACGCUGAGGCGCGAAAGCCAGGGGAGGCGAAACGGG